rnacentral:rRNA from 1 species
GAUGAACGCUGGCGGCGUGCCUAAUACAUGCAAGUCGAGCGCGAAGAUCAGGAGCUUGCUCCUGAGAUUUGAGCGGCGGACGGGUGAGUAACACGUAGGCAACCUACCCUUGAGAUUGGGAUAACUACCGGAAACGGUAGCUAAUACCGGAUACGACUUUUCCACAUAAGUGGAACUGUUAAAAGGCGGAUUUAUCUGCCGAUCAUGGAUGGGCAUGCGGUGCAUUAGCUAGUUGGUGAGAUAGUAGCUCACCAAGGCGACGAUGCAUAGCCGACCUGAGAGGGGGAUCGGCCACACUGGGACUGAGACACGGCCCAGACUCCUACGGGAGGCAGCAGUAGGGAAUCUUCCGCAAUGGACGAAAGUCUGACGGAGCAACGCCGCGUGAGUGAUGAAGGGUUUCGGCUCGUAAAACUCUGUUGUUAAGGAAGAACACUUGAGGUAGUAACUGGCCUUGAGAUGACGGUACCUAACCGGAAAGCCACGGCUAACUACGUGCCAGCCGCCGCGGUAA